GGACAAACUACAGAGGUUCUCAAUUCUCAUAUUCCAUUUGGAUCAGGCACAUUUAAAUUAUGGGUAGCUAAACAUAUCAAAUGACCGUUAAAACAGCUAAGAAGAAGACAACAUAUCAAAGCAUAAUUUAAAUGCUUCUAGCAUGUUAACCUUUGUACCAGAAGCUUUUGUACAGGAAAACUUGGCAAUGAUGAUCAAAACGUUUUUUUUUCUACAAGUACCCGUAAACACAAACGAUCUAGCUAAUUGCCAAAAGUUAAAUGCAUGGUGUGAAGCGAUUGCUGCAGCUUUAGUGGCUCGAAAAUGGCAAGCAGAUUAAUCGACAAAAAAUUACUUCUCGCUGCCUAAUUCUUCUUGCUUUAGGCCUCUAACUAGUGAUGCCUCAAGAUUACUCCCUGCUUUACUCACCACUUGGAUUUUCUUCCAUUAAUGCCCUCGCCUAGUCUUGAUUUUGAAGCAUUCCCUGGAGCUGUAGGGGGUCUCUCUUGAGCUGCAUUGUUGGGAUCUCGCAGAGGCCGCUGCCCUACUUGGCGGGUAGGACUACCAUAACUUCUAGCAGAAUCUAUCCUAGAACUAGACAACAAAUAGUCCCUGACACCCUUCACUGUUUGAUAUCCAUGCAUUUCAUCUGCAAGUUCAUCUGCAUAACUUUUUCCUUGCAGAUGUCUUUCAAGUUCAGAUAAUCCCCCCCAGUCCAUCCCAUCCCCUGUAAUUGAGAGCCUCUCAUUUUGGGUGCUCCAUUCAACUCCAUCUGAUACGCUUCUUUGCAGAGAAGUACUUCUCCUAGGUGCUUUGCUCGAGGUAGACUUCCUCCCUUUGAUUUCUUCUUCAUCAAUUGCCGCUUUUCUCAAAUCACAAGGAGCUCCAGAAGGAUGCGUCCAUUUGUAGCUUUUGUUAUUGUUGUCCAUAUUCAACUCUAUGGAAUGAAGAUCACUUUCGGCCGAGUCUUCUCCACAUUCUAUCCCAUCAUCUACUUCUCCAUCAUCCUCAUUUACUUCAUUCUUAUGGGAAACUAACUGGGCUUUAUUCAAAUAAGCUGCAAUCUCUUCAUCAUUCACAUGAUAAGCACCAUGACUUUUUUCUUUGGUUCUUUUGGAUCCUAAGAAGGCUUCAAGUUGACUCCUCAGUUGGUCUACAGCUGCAUUCUUCUCUUCAAGUUGAUAUUUAGCUUCUGAAAGUUUCAUCUGGACUCUCUCCUCACGCAACACAUCAGCCAACUGCAUCAUCUCCCUUUCCUUCUCAACCUCUGCACAAAGUUUUGCCGAUUCUCUCUUCAGUUCUUCAACUUCUGCUUUAUCUUCACCUAUAUCCCUGGCUAAUUCAUCACAUACUUGCUCCAUUACAACUCUUGCUCUCUUCUCAUUCUCAAGUUCUUUCACUGCCUUCAACAGAGAAGACUUUGUCUCAGCUAGUUCUUUCCCAAGCUUCUUGUUCAAGCUUUCAAGCCGUCUCCUCAGUUUUUUCUCUACUUCAAGUUCUCCAGCAAGGGACUCAAUAGCAGCUUCAACCACUUUCUGCUCCUUGUUUUUCCAUGCUGCCUUUUCUUCAGCAAAGCACUUCAUUAAAUAGCUUAUAUCAUUCUGGUCUGAGCGCUGUUCUUGAAUAAGAAGAUUGACCUGCAAGCGAGCCCUCUCAAGCUCAGCAUGUAGGGCUGAGAUAAGAGACAUGCUUGAUGAAGGCCGAUCUUCACUACCCCAUACACGAUUGAUAAUUUUUAACAGUUCUUUAGAUGUGGUCAAAGCAUUACUGACAUCCUUCAAACGAGUCUUAGCUCCAACAGUAGAUCCAGUAGGGGUUUGGGCUCGAGAUCUAGUCUCAAUCUGUAUCAUAAAAGAAAACAAAAUAGAUUUCAUGUGACAACAAAAUAGAUUUCUUGUAUCUUAUGUUUAAAUUAUAAAUAGCUUUUAACCAGUGCAAAUAUAUAUUAUAUUAUACUGACUGCUUAUAAUGCGCGAAGGAAUAUUGAUAUUAUGGAUCAAAUCAUCUAACACUAAAUUACUAAACUAAGCGAGGCACAGUACUGCGAAUGUGUCAUUUAAAUGCAGACAGGAGAUUAGAUUAAAAGGAAAAUGGAAAAAAAAUUAUGGCAUUUAUUAAAUGAGAUGUACCAUAAGCAAAAACUGGGACAUUUAAUAUCAAAUUAUGAACCACUGGAACACCUCCACAAACUCGCAUUAUUACUAUCAAAUACCUCCAUUAAACUGGCAUUGCUAAUAGAAUCAAAUGCCCCAACACAGUGGUCUGUAAGCCUAAGCCUUUGAGAAAUUGAUGACACUCUUCUAUGGCGACUGCCAGUUCCAGAUCGAUCCAUCCUCUACGAAAUAAUCAUAACAAUUAUUGAACAAGAAAACCAACGAUUUAGGUUCAUGAAUUACCAAUGAUAAAAGAAAAUUAAAAAUUAAGUCUAGCUCAGAUACAAUCGCACAACUUCUGGCGCCUUAUGGUUGUGCUACAUUCUGAGGCAUGACAGUACAAUGCCACAAAUGAAACUUAUAAAAGCUCAAUCAAUUAACAAAACUCCACAAAAGCGCAAGGUUUUCAAAUUCCAAAGAGUUGGCAUUCAACUGCUAUGCGCAUAGAGCAUAAACAUAUUUGGCAUCCCAAAAUGUUGAUUCCCAAUCAAAAUAAUACCCUUUUUCUCAAGUUUAAGAGCUUCAACUAUUUUUCUGUUACCAAAGGAAUGUAUGAUCAAUAAAGGAAAAAAAAUAUAUAUAUAUGAUCAUAAAAAUUUUCUCUCUCUGUUUCCUCAAAAGGAAAAAAAUCCUUUCUUUGUUUUCAUUUUUCCAUUUUUCUUUUCUGAGAAGACCUUAGAGCUUCUCAAAUAACCCAUCACACCGAAUCAAACACAACUGCCACUCAUCUUAGAGAACCAAACUAACAGUUUGAUUAAGAUUCCAUAACUCAAAUUUCCUUUCCAUUCCCCACUUUCUUUACCUAACCAAAAAAUUCCGCAUGAAAACAUAUUUUCCCUUCUCCCCCCUCCCUCUCCCCCCUUUUAGGCCAUUCUGCUUUAGCAAUAGCAAUACCUAAACUUCUUUGGAGAUUAUGAACAAAACAUGAGAUACCAAACAUUAAAAAAAUUAAAACCCACCUCGGAGACAGGACUAUGAGAUGGAUCAGACAAAUGGGGAGGCAAAGAACCCGAAUGCACAGACCUGUUCGCCCUCUCUCUGGCUCUCGCCCCUUUUCUUAACCUCCUCUCCUCCGACGCCACAACCUCCUUCAUUUUCGGCGAUGGCAUCUCAUUCAUCUCCCACAGCGUCGCCGCCAACUUUCUCGCCGAAACUGGCGCCGCCUGCUGCUGCAGCUUCCCCUUGACAACACCGCCGUUUUGUGAGGCAGCGUACUUGGGAGAGUCCACGGCACGCAAUGCCGACGAUGGGGUCCUCGCCGUCCCCAUCAGCUUCCACGUGGGCACAGGCGUACUGGAUCCGCCCCUUUUCCCAACCAAAAUUGCUCUCUUAAAUCUGUAGUUUUGAAUAAUCGAAGACGAAGAAGACGCCGAAGAGGAACACCCACGUUUCCUUAUUUUUCCUGGAAGCAAUUCUUCCAUGGCGGCCCGACUUUGCCUUGGCAUUAUCAAAUUCUAUUACCUCUCUAGCUUCCCUCUUUAGAUCUUACCAAUUGUUAAGCUUCAUGGCUCCUUGGAUUUGAAUUUGAAACUGAGUGAAGAUGGGAUGGGAGUGGUUUUGAGAGAGAUGAAUUGGGAAAUGU
rnacentral:misc_RNA from 1 species